AUCGCUUCUGGCCUUUUGGCUAAGAUUAACUGUUCUUCGAAGUGUAAAAGCUUCGACGGGGCUAUUGCCCCACGCCUUUACUUUAAUUGUUGACUAUUGGGACAUGGUCUGAAGCUUGCUUCACCUGUCUCAUGGGUUGCCAUGGUAUUGCACUACUGCCAAGGUGGCCCUCCCCUC